rnacentral:rRNA from 1 species
AUACAGAGGGUGCAAGCGUUAAUCGGAUUUACUGGGCGUAAAGCGCGCGUAGGCGGCUAAUUAAGUCAAAUGUGAAAUCCCCGAGCUUAACUUGGGAAUUGCAUUCGAUACUGGUUAGCUAGAGUGUGGGAGAGGAUGGUAGAAUUCCAGGUGUAGCGGUGAAAUGCGUAGAGAUCUGGAGGAAUACCGAUGGCGAAGGCAGCCAUCUGGCCUAACACUGACGCUGAGGUGCGAAAGCAUGGGGAGCAAACAGGAUUAGAAACCCCGGUAGUCC